CCGCCCCAGGCCCCGAGAUCCCAGUCACCCGGACCCCCGCUCCAGGACCCAGACCCCGCAUGCCAAGGACGCCCACCUGAGUGCUCCAGACCCCCUCAGGCCCCCACCUCCCCAUCCGGCUCCCAUCCUUCUCUGCCCCUCGCAACCCUAGUGCUCUUUGACUGCCCCUGGCCCUCUGACCCUGAGGGAGCGAGUGGACACCACACAACAGCCCAGGAGAGGCGCAGCCCGCUUGCGCCCCACCCCCAGUCCUCUCAGUCCUCCGGGAGAGGGGGACACUCUUCCAGUCCCUGUCUGCAGCGGGACCCGUCCCCUCCCUGCGAGAACCCGUUCCCUCUUCUGUUUGAGGGAAGGGAGAGAAUUAGUGGGUCUCGACGGACUCAGGGUGGCCCUCCCCUCCCGGUCCCCCAUCUUCUACACUGGCGAUGGCUCUGUCCUUGGAGGCGCCCUGGAUUAUGGCCCUUUCUCCAGCAGCGUUUUUUGUGUGUUCUUUGUUGUUGUUUGCAGUACUGGGGAUCGAAUCUGGAGUGUUCUGUCACUGAGGUAUACCCCCAUCGCUUUUAGUUUUUUUAAAUUUUGAGACAGGGUCUUGCUACAUGGCUCAGGUGGGUCUCAAAGUUGACAUGACUCUCCUGCCUCAGCCUCCUG
rnacentral:lncRNA from 1 species